UAAUAGCCACAGUCCCUGCAGAGA
rnacentral:misc_RNA from 1 species